rnacentral:rRNA from 1 species
GGGGGACCUGAUGCAGCAACGCCGCGUGAGUGAUGACGGUCUUCGGAUUGUAAAGCUCUGUCUUUAGGGACGAUAAUGACGGUACCUAAGGAGGAAGCCACGGCUAACUACGUGCCAGCAGCCGCGGUAAUACGUAGGUGGCAAGCGUUGUCCGGAUUUACUGGGCGUAAAGGGAGCGUAGGUGGAUAUUUAAGUGGGAUGUGAAAUACCCGGGCUUAACCUGGGUGCUGCAUUCCAAACUGGAUAUCUAGAGUGCAGGAGAGGAAAGGAGAAUUCCUAGUGUAGCGGUGAAAUGCGUAGAGAUUAGGAAGAAUACCAGUGGCGAAGGCGCCUUUCUGGACUGUAACUGACACUGAGGCUCGAAAGCGUGGGGAGCAAACAGGAUUAGAUACC